CAAAGGAUAAGCUAAAUAAAGCUAUUGGGCUCAUAACCCAACAAUAGAGGAACAAUCUUCCUUUGA
rnacentral:tRNA from 1 species